UACGUAGGGUGCAAACGUUAAUCGGAAUUACUGGGCGUAAAGCGUGCGCAGGCGGUGAUGUAAGACAGAUGUGAAAUCCCCGGGCUCAACCUGGGAACUGCAUUUGUGACUGCAUCGCUGGAGUGCGGCAGAGGGGGAUGGAAUUCCGCGUGUAGCAGUGAAAUGCGUAGAUAUGCGGAGGAACACCGAUGGCGAAGGCAAUCCCCUGGGCCUGCACUGACGCUCAUGCACGAAAGCGUGGGGAGCAAACAGG
rnacentral:rRNA from 1 species